CCCGCUGAACUUAAGCAUAUUACUAAGCGGAGGAAAAGAAAUCAACGAAGAUUGCCUCAGUAGCGGCGAGUGAAGCGGCAAAAGCUCAAGUUUAGAAUCUGUAGCCUUCUUGGCUACCGAAUUGUAAUCUAAAGGGGCUAACAAAAGGGGAAGUGGAAGCAUAAGUUCCUUGGAACAGGACGUCACAGAGGGUGAAAACCCCGUAUGUAGCUUUCACUGAACCGAAUGUUGACCUUCUGAGAGUCGGGUUGUUUGGGAUUGCAGCCCUAAAUGGGAGAUAAACUUCUUCUAAGGCUAAAUAUUUAUGGGAAACCGAUAGCGAACAAGUACUGUGAAGGAAAGGUGAAAAGAACUUUGAAAAGAGGGUUAAAAGACUUGAAAUCGUUGAGAAGGAAGCAGUAGAAGUGGAUUAUGUUAACUAGGAAGCAAGUCAUGUAAGGAACCAACUCGUGGUGGUGUGAGUACGUCAUUGGCUUAGCUAUCACGAAGUAAUGGCACUUUAUGGCGAUUUCCUAGUUAAAGGGCAGAACCAGGUCUAUACUUUUGUUGGAAUCAGUUGGAGGAAAGUCCAUAGUCUCUGAUUAUGAAUCCUUCUUCAAAACAACAAAAUGGCCUGAGGAAAUUCUGGGUUCUGCCACAACGGCUUCUACUGACCCGUCUUGAAACACGG
rnacentral:rRNA from 1 species